rnacentral:misc_RNA from 1 species
AAAAAAAAAAAAAUCAUCUUUUGAAAAUUCAAUAAAAAUUGGGUUUUUAUUGUUCUAAAUCUCGAAAAACCCUUUUUAGAUCAAUCAAUUCUGUGAAAUUUGAGCUUUUUUUUGUUGUUUUUGGUGUGCAAUAUGAUAUGAAGUAGUUAGAGAUAGUAACAGAGCUAUGCAUGCGUAUAAUAGACUACCGAGUAGUGGACACAGUAGCCCAUCAACUCCGUCAUCGCCACGUUCACGGUCGCCUCGUUUACG